AUUGAACGCUGUCGGCAGGCCUAACACAUGCAAGUCGAGCGGAGCUGCGGACGGGUGAGUAAUGCCUAGGAAUCUGCCUGGUAGUGGUGGAUAACGUCCGGAAACGGGCGCUAAUACCGCAUACUAUCAGAUUAGCCUAGUUCUGAUUAGCUAGUUGGUGGGGUAAAGGCCUACCAAGGCGACGAUCCGUAACUGGUCUGAGAGGAUGAUCAGUCACACGGGAACUGAGACACGGUCCAGACGCCUACGGGAGGCAGCAGUGGGGAAUAUUGGAGAAUGGGCGAAAGCCGGAUACAGCCAUGCCGGGUGUGUGAAGAAGGUCUUCGGAUGGUAAAGCACUUUAAGUUGGGAGGCGUUACCAACAGAAUAAGCACCGGCUAACUUCGUGACAGCAGCCGCGGUAAUAC
rnacentral:rRNA from 1 species